CUUCCUGUUAAAAGGGAGUUUUUCCUUCCCACUGUCGCCAAAGUGCUUGCUCAUAGGGGGUCAUAUGAUUGUCAGCUUUUAUAAGGACCUUUUUAAGAGUGAUUUCUCAGAAAAUCCCAGUUUGUGCAAUAGCUUCUUCAAGGGACUCCCUCAGGUGGCGGCUCCAGCCAAUCGAAAACUGGAGGUUCAGCCAACUUUGCAUGAACUUCAUACUGCUCUGAUGACUUUUCAGAAUGGUAGAACUCCUGGCAUGGAUGGUCUUCCUGUUGAGUUCUACAAAGCCUUUUGGUCUGUGAUGGGUGAGGAUUUGCUGGAGGUUGUCACAGAUAGUCUGCAGAGAGGCUUGCUGCCUCUGAGCUGUAGAAGGGCGAUCAUCACUCUCAAGGUCAAGGUGCUUUACACUUGUCCUCUCCCAGCAUUCAGCACUUCAGACACUCAACACCCCACCCAGACGACAGCCUUACCCCGACCUGAUGAGAAGGAUGGAUGACCAAAGGACAAACUGGAGAGUGGAGCUGUUUUCCAACUAUGGCAGUGUCUUUAGCAAUCCUGGAACAGCUGAGAGUGGACAGAGCUGCACAGAGGACCAAAGAUCCACUCUCAGCACUUUAUAUCUGACCGGCCCCAGCACCACCCCUCUUCACCCAACGUGAGGAGGGACCUGACCCCGCCUGCACAGAGGGAGUUGUGGACAUCAUUUCUGUGUCACUGGGUUUAGGAACCUUCUCACACACACACACGGAUGAACACUGUCACUGGAAGAUGUCUCCAUUGCAUCAGCAGGAUGUAAGCAUUUAUACAAUAUUGCAGUUUGUGAUGUUUUAUACAUGUUUUUAUCUCUUCAUUUAAAACUAGGAGAUAUAAA